rnacentral:rRNA from 1 species
ACUGCCGGCGACAAGCCGGAGGAAGGUGGGGAUGACGUCAAGUCAUCAUGGCCCUUAUGUCCAGGGCGACACACGUGCUACAAUGGCCGGCACAGCGGGAAGCGGAGGGGCGACCCUGAGCGGAUCCCUUGAAAGCCGGUCCCAGUUCGGAUUGCAGUCUGCAACUCGACUGCAUGAAGUUGGAAUCGCUAGUAAUCGCGGAUCAGCCAAGCCGCGGUGAAUACGUUCCCGGGCCUU